rnacentral:rRNA from 1 species
CUGGCUCAGGAUGAACGCUAGCGACAGGCUUAACACAUGCAAGUCGAGGGGCAGCAUAGGAAGUAGCAAUACUUCGGUGGCGACCGGCGCACGGGUGAGUAACGCGUAUGCAACCGUACCUAUCGAGAGGGGAAUAACCCGGCGAAAGUCGGACUAAUACCGCAGUAAAACAGGGGCAACCGCAUGGUGAUAUUUGUUAAAGAAAUUCGCUGAUAGAUGGGCAUGCGUUCCAUUAGGUAGUUGGUGAGGUAACGGCUCACCAAGCCGACGAUGGAUAGGGGAACUGAGAGGUUGGUCCCCCACACUGGUACUGAGACACGGACCAGACUCCUACGGGAGGCAGCAGUGAGGAAUAUUGGUCAAUGGGCGGGAGCCUGAACCAGCCAAGUCGCGUGAAAGGAAGAAGGAUCUAUGGUUCGUAAACUUCUUUUGCAGGGGAAUAAAGUGCAGGACGUGUCCUGUUUUGUAUGUACCCUGAGAAUAAGGAUCGGCUAACUCCGUGCCAGCAGCCGC